GCCUGUUGACAAAGCCCCAGAAAUGUGAGAGGAGUCAUCUUGUACCUGCCUACUAUCCUAGAUCUCACCUGAUUGCAACCACAUAGAACAAUGGCAUUGUGCCCAGCACAUAGGAAACCCUUGUGAAAUGUUUGCUGAACAAGACAUCUUAAUAUCUAUGAAAAAUUGCCUGUGGAAGGGAUGAAACAAAAAAAGUGUUGAUCUUUGGGAGUCAUGCUGAGAAUGGAGAAAAGGAGAUGAACACAGAAGACAAAUCAGAGGUCUUUGUCACUGUCUAGAUGUGGGAAGAAGGAAGCAGGAAA